CCGUGCAAUAGACUCGUCCAUCCAACUUCUCCCACCGUGCGGAUUCACAGCUCUUGCCAUAUAUGGGCAUAAAACGAAAGCGACGCGCCGAUUGGUCCGUUGGCCGGCUAGCGGCUAGAUUCUCCAAAUGCCGUUUCAAAUCGUACGAUACGGAGAGCGCGUGUCUCUCCUGGAAGUAUAUGCUUUAACGUAAAGACUCGCUUGAAAAUUAACCGUCGCGACGAAAGCCUAUGAAUUGUUUGUACGUACAUACGUACCUAAGAGCAGUUACUGGUAUGAUAAUACAAACGUAAAUCAAUGUAUAUUAUAUGUAUAAAGAAAUUGAAGCGUUCAGAGACGUAAAGUGUACAGAGCAGUGGUAAGAUUCAAUUCGCGAUGGUUCGCGAGGAGGACUCGAGUAACGAUCAGUCGAGAUUAAUGUUGCCCGCAAGAAAAUGAAGACUUUUUGUUUGUUAAAUUACUUUGUAUCAAAAGCAAAGGCAAAGGGAUAUUACAUCGAUGGGACACCAGUAUCAAGACUAUGACCUUUCAGAGACUGCAACGAGCGUCAACGAGCUCGCGCGAAACAUGCAGUCAGUCAAGGAUUCGAAACGCGGUCAUGGCUUCAUAACUCAAUGAACUCUAUGUGUACGUGUUUGGUGUAUGUGUACGUG